GCAGGCGUAGUUUAGUGGCAAAACUUGAGUUUCCCAAACUCACGUCGGGAGUUCGAUUCUCCUCGCCUGCUCCA
rnacentral:tRNA from 1 species